CACCGCUCGUCGCUACUACCGAUUAAAUGAUUUAGUGAAGUCUUCGGACUGACUCUCGAAGCGGCUAUCGGGUCGCAUUGGCGUGUCGGAAAGAUGACCAAACUUGACCAUUUAGAGGAAGUAAAAGUCGUAACAAGGUUUCCGUAGGUGAACCUAUGGAAG
rnacentral:ncRNA from 1 species